ACCGCAGGCCUCCAUGUACCUUGCUAUGGGUUAGAGCCCAGGCUGCAGAGCAGAGGCUCCUGAUGGACUCCUGCUGCACUCAGCAGCCUUCAGACUUGAACCCCACAUGGGCUCUUCCCUGGACCUCAAGCGUGCAGACUCUGGACCUGCCAGCCUCCGUCACCAGGUAAGCCAGUUCCUUAAAUCCUGCACAUAUACACACAGUACCCGGUGGGUCCCUGACCCUCCUCCACCCUCCUCUACCUUGGCUCCCCACCCCCCUUCCUCUCCUCUGCCUGCUGCCUCCUGGCACCCGCCCGCCCUCACUCGAAGGCAGGCUCCACGUCAUUUUCCUGCAGCCCCUGUGACUCAUAGGCCUAUAAUAACCCUCCAGCUUCCGCUUGCCUCCUCAUUCAAGAGUCUCCCCAAAUCCCACAGCAUCCAAUCAAAGCAGCGGCAGCCUGUCCUCCCUCGGAUGAACCCGUUCAGAAAGAAAACCCUCACAUGUGAGUGCUGCUUUGCAAAUUAACUUUCUGAGACCCCUCCACACGUGACAGUCAGGGGACUUGUUUCGUGAUGCUCUGUGUGGAGGUGGGGCUGCAGGGGGCUCCUUCUACAGUGACCUGUUGGGUUUGGCCGCGGAGGCUCUCAAGGCCACAGUCUUGGGUGUGGCUUCCUGAAGGGGCCGCUAAAGCCAAACCCCUGCUUCUGUCCUGUUCAGUAACAUGGCUCACCAGGUGACAGGUAGAGGCGGCAGGAGUGAGGGAAAAGCCAUAAAAGGCAUGUGUCCCCUUGACUGUGGGCCACUGUGCCCUCCUCCUGGGAGCAAGGCUCAUACCACACACUCAAUGGGAGCAAUGAUGCAUAUGUCAUCAGCAAGGAGCACUGUCAUGAAUCUGGUGGCCCAGAGACCCCCUGCGUUUACCUGCGUGCAUCCCAGCUGCAGAAGACCAUGACGGCUACUGCAGAAGCCCUGCACAGCUCUGUUUCGCACUGCCUGCACGCUGUGGGUAGUGGGGCUGGGGGCUCCACCCUCGCCUUCCUCCCACAUGUAGGGAACAGUCCUUGGGUUAUUGCAGCAACCAUCAAGCCACACUCCCAGCAGACACCAAGUACGCUCCACCAGGGAGGCACCAUCCCAAAACCCUAAAUGGCUCAAAGAGAAGGUGGUCUCAGGAAGAAAGCCCAAAGUACUCUAGGGGGCUACUAAAAUGUCAGCGUGAAGGAAUGUGAGCCUUCUAGAUGCUAGAUUCAAUGCGCCCCCUUUCCACAACACUUUCAAUCUUGGGUGAGUCAUUCAACCUUGCAGAGCUCGGUUUCCUCUUAUGCAAAUCGAGGGUGCAAUAUCUGCUUUGUGUUAGGGUUAUGGGGAGAAGAGAUGAUAAUAAAAAUGGACUUGGGACAUCUAUCCUGGUGUUGACCCUCAAUAAACAUUCAUUUCCUUCUCUCCUUUCUUAAUCGAAAGGCUCUCUGGAUGCAAUGAGGGAUUUUACAGGUUAUGAUUUGCAUGCCUGGUAAAUUUAGUGGUGAAAUCACAGAGCCCCAUGGAGCAGAUGGUGGCCAUCACGAGUCAGAUGGUGGCCAUCAGGAGGAAAACUCACCUAUGGGCGGUAUCAAUUCACAAAAUCAACAAGAGGGUCCCAAGUCAGAUUAUAGCAUCUAUCCCCUACCCUGAAGUUCAAACAGAACAAAACCCAGGGAAGACAAUAAAAAUUGCAAAUGCUAAGCACUCUAGCUAUCCUAGAUUUUAGAACCUUCCAGUCCUCAUAAAGCACUAAAAUUUCAACAAAUAACAGCUUCAGCAGGCUCACAGGAAGUGGCUCGCCACAGCUCCCCCUUCCUACCUAACAUAUGGAAUACCUUCCAGGCAGUCUGUACAUUACAGAGCACGAGAGGUAAAAUUCAAAUUGCAGCCAACGGAAAGACAGGAAGCCCUCCUCAACUUGAGAUGGAGUAUUUAAAGCACAUUUACUGAUGUUCAAGUCUCUUAUCCUGUAAUAAGAUGUCUUGGCAUCUUAUCACAUUGACAUCCACACAUUGGUGACAGUGUAAUGGCAAAGAGGGUAAAUAUAUGCAUAAUAUUCCUAAUUUUGUUUUUUCUUUCUGGUUUUCAACUGUUUUUUUCCUUUAUCUCCUGUUGGAUGCAUGCCUACUGUUAAAUGCGAAGAUGAGCGCCCUCUGGUGGCUAAACCGACCUUUCCCUUUCCUGAGGCACCCUGAAACACAUGAUCUUGUCCUGUGAAAUUCCUAUGCCCUGUUCCAAUUAGCAAUUUUCUACUGUCCCUCCUCCUGUGUGAGCCUGCUCUUCACUCCACUUGUGCCCCCCAUCCUUGAGCUGAUGAGAUAUUGUGUUUUCAAUCUCUCCGAUGCUCUGCUCAUACUCUGCGUUUAGGCGAAUAUUCGAAUCUACUUUCUGAAAAGAAAAAAAAUGCGGUUUUAGAAAUUUCAUUUUCAGACACUUAUCUGAUAAAUAUUUAUUGGGCAUCUACAACAAAUCAAAAGAAAUACUGUAAUACAUACAAGGAAUUUAAAAAUAUAACCUCUAAUUGCAAGAAGCUUGCAGUAGAGGACAGAAAAGGAAAGCCUUGAUUUUUUUUUUUUAAGCUUUAUGUGUUAAUUUCCAUAAAAUUUGUUUUAUCAGAUGCAUAAGUGUUCUUAUCAGAGGCAUGCUGCUAGGUCUCUGGGAGUGAGUUCUGUCUCUUGGGACUGGUGUUGUUACCAGAGAGUGGCUUGUUAUAAAGCAGGUCAGCUUCUCCCCUGUCACUCUCUUGCAAGCCUAUCUACUCUUUGCACUUGCUUGCUUCCCCUUCUGACUCUCUGCCAUGUUGUGACACAGGAUAAGGCCCUUACCAGAGCCAAGCAGAUGCUGGUGCCAUGCUCUUGGACCUCUGAAACUGAUCCAAAAUAAACUUCUUUAUUUAUAAGUAUUCUAGUUUCAGGCAUUCUGUUAUAGCAACAGAAAAUAGACUGAGACAAUGGUCAAUACAUGCACAUACUAUAAAAUCAAAAAUGUACAAGAGGGAAUGCAUAAAAAGGUACUUCUCACCACCAUAUAACCUACCUACCCAAUUCCCCUCUUCAAUAGCACCUACAAGUCUCAAUCUCUUGGUCAUGCUUCUAGAGAUACUCUGUUGCAUUAUAAGAAUAUGCAUAUUUUUUUCCACAAAUGAAUGUGAUAUUUGGCAUCUUACUUUCACACCUUUUAGUACAUAUUGCUGGAAAUUCUAAAUCAGCAUAAAGAGGGCUGCUGUAUUCUUUUUAAAGAAAUACAGAAAAUUCUAUUAUAUGCAUAUUACUGUGAUUUAAUCAGUUCCCUACUGAUAGAAAUUGAGAUGGUUUCUAAUUUUUCACUAUGAUAAGUUGGCACUGCAAUAAGUAUCUUUAUACAGACAUCAUUUUGCACAAGUGCCAGAAAAUACUUAGAAUAAAUUCCUAGAAGUGGAUCAAAGAAUAUGCAUAUUUUUACUUUUGAUAGUGAUUGCCAAAUUACUCUUCAUAGAGGUUUCACCAGCGUCUACCAUCCCUGACAAAACAUGAGGCUCUGUUUUCUCAAAUCCUCAGCAACAAAGCGAGUUAUAACUUUGUGUUUUCUCUUUACCAGUCUCAGGGGUGGAAAUUAUAUCUCCACACAAGUUUAACUGACAUUACUCUUACUUUGAAUGAGGUUGAGCAUCAUUUCACACGUAAGAUAAACCUUAUUAUUUAUUUAUAUGCUCUUUCUACAAACAGACUUUUUAUAUUGUCUAUUUUUUUUUCUGCGUGGGUUUUUCUCUCUUUGAACUGUAGGAGCUUGGGGCAGGUAGUCUCCAAGAUGGCCCCAGUUGACCCCCAACCUCCCAGAUGGUACUGCUGUUGUCUGUGCACCCAAUAAAACACGGCGGACACAGUGGUAUAAAAUUUCCAAGAUUAGCUUAUAGAAAAUACUCAGCUCUUGUCUUGGUGACUCCCUCCAGCUCCCUCUCUCCAGGGGAAGCCAGCUGUCAUGCCAUGAGCAGACUGAUGGUGAAGACCAUGUGGUGAGGAACAGAAUCUUCCAGAAAGCAGUCAGUGAGGAGCAGAGGCCUCCUGCCAGGACUUGAAUAGAUGGUCUCAGAAGCAGCUGCCAGUCUCAGGCAAACCUCCAAUGUCUCCACCACAGCUUCCUGCAGUUUCUGAGCCAGAACCACCCAGCUGGACUGCCCCAGACUCCAGAAAUAGGGAAAUAAUACCUGUUUGCUGCUCUCGAACGCUCACCGUUGUGGUAACUUUGUACACAUCAAUCAAUAAUAAUAUGGA
rnacentral:lncRNA from 1 species